AUGACGAAUUUUGGGGGAGUGCGACAUGCAGUCGACUACAUGUACGAUUUCAUAGCACUUUCCUUAGACGAAGAACAACUAGACACAAUCUGCAUUAGGAGCUCGCGCCCAUUCCCUAUCGAGAUUAGCCUACGGAUCAUCCAAGACACCAUCCGAGGAGAUGGACUUGUCCAUCCGUUAUGCUUCAAUCUUGAUGUGCGUAAGAUUACUACCUUCGUAGCAGAGAGGAGCGCAGGCACCAACUCUGUUUGA
rnacentral:rRNA from 1 species